AAGGGAAACCAAUAGCUUGGUUGUAACACCCGUUCCCAUACCGAACACGAAGGUUAAGAACCAAAGCGCCGAUGGUACUGCAGGGGCAGCCCUGUGGGAGAGUAGGUCAUUGCCGGGU
rnacentral:rRNA from 1 species